UGGGGAAUUUUGGACAAUGGGCGAAAGCCUGAUCCAGCAAUGCCGCGUGUGUGAAGAAGGCCUUCGGGUUGUAAAGCACUUUUGUCCGGAAAGAAAUCCUUGGCUCUAAUACAGUCGGGGGAUGACGGUACCGGAAGAAUAAGCACCGGCUAACUACGUGCCAGCAGCCGCGGUAAUACGUAGGGUGCAAGCGUUAAUCGGAAUUACUGGGCGUAAAGCGUGCGCAGGCGGUUUGCUAAGACCGAUGUGAAAUCCCCGGGCUCAACCUGGGAACUGCAUUGGUGACUGGCAGGCUAGAGUAUGGCAGAGGGGGGUAGAAUUCCACGUGUAGCAGUGAAAUGCGUAGAGAUGUGGAGGAAUACCGAUGGCGAAGGCAGCCCCCUGGGCCAAUACUGACGCUCAUGCACGAAAGCGUGGGGAGCAAACAGGAUUAGAUACCCUGGUAGUCCACGCCCUAAACGAUGUCAACUAGUUGUUGGGGAUUCAUUUCCUUAGUAACGUAGCUAACGCGUGAAGUUGACCGCUUGGGGAGUACGGUCGCAAGAUUAAAACUCAAAUGAAUUGACGGGGUCAUAGCUGUUUCCU
rnacentral:rRNA from 1 species